rnacentral:rRNA from 1 species
UGCGUAGGUGGUGAGGUAAGUCGGAUGUGAAAUCUCCGAGCUCAACUCGGAAAUGGCAUUGGAAACUACCUUGCUCGAGGGUUGGAGGGGGGACUGGAAUACUUGGUGUAGCAGUGAAAUGCGUAGAUAUCAAGUGGAACACCAGUGGCGAAGGCGAGUCCCUGGACAACUCCUGACACUGAGGCACGAAAGCUAGGGGAGCAAACA